GGGAGAUACCAUGAUCAAGAAGGUGGUUCACCCAGGGCGAGGCUUGGCCAUUGCACUCCGGUUGAGCUGACCUCUGCGAAUUCCCCAAAUACUUUUCCCUUCCCACUGCCAUCAGCGCCAUCUCGGCCUCCACAGCAGCCAGUGCCCAGGCCGCGGUGCUGGGUGGCCGGCAGGUUCUUGUAUACGGCCCGGCUAUACGGGAUAAAGCACAGACCCAGCUGGAGGUGUCGGGCCAGGCGGCAGUAUGCAGCCAGCGCUAGGACCAGCAGAGGGGUGACCAAGAGGAAGCCCACCACCAGCAGAGCCACGCAGCCACCAUCAGUCAGCAGGUCUGAGCAGUAAGGGGUCGUCCCAUGGGGGCGGACCUGGGGAGAAGAGAAGAAAGACAGCAGACUGAAUGAUAUGUUGUACAAAGUGACAGAGGAAGCCAAACACCACCAUGACAAUGGCCGGAGUCAAAAUGGUCCCGAACACCAGGCCAGCGAGGCAGGCGUUGAUCGCGGCAAUAAUCAGGUUCUGAGCCGUCACCAGCACCGAGCAGGCCCAGCAGUCCAGGGACCCCCGCAGCUCCAUAGGCGCUUCACUGCCCCCGCCACCGAUCUCAGCUGCAGAAUAAGG